AUUGAACGCUGGCGGCAGGCCUAACACAUGCAAGUCGAGCGGAUGAAGGGAGCUUGCUCCUGGAUUCAGCGGCGGACGGGUGAGUAAUGCCUAGGAAUCUGCCUGGUAGUGGGGGAUAACGUCCGGAAACGGGCGCUAAUACCGCAUACGUCCUGAGGGAGAAAGUGGGGGAUCUUCGGACCUCACGCUAUCAGAUGAGCCUAGGUCGGAUUAGCUAGUUGGUGGGGUAAAGGCCUACCAAGGCGACGAUCCGUAACUGGUCUGAGAGGAUGAUCAGUCACACUGGAACUGAGACACGGUCCAGACUCCUACGGGAGGCAGCAGUGGGGAAUAUUGGACAAUGGGAAAGCCUGAUCCAGCCAUGCCGCGUGUGUGAAGAAGGUCUUCGGAUUGUAAAGCACUUUAAGUUGGGAGGAAGGGCAGUAAGUUAAUACCUUGCUGUUUUGACGUUACCAACAGAAUAAGCACCGGCUAACUUCGUG
rnacentral:rRNA from 1 species